rnacentral:antisense_RNA from 1 species
AAGAGAUCAGAAUUCAGCUUCCCCAGGGACAGCAAGGCCAAGGUGUCUAGAUCCUGGCCUCUCUCCAGAUCCUGGCCUCUCUCAAGGCCAAGACUCUCUCUUAAGAUCUCUCUCUCAAGGCCAAGAUCUCUCUCCAGAUAUUGGCCUCUCUGAAGGUUACUUCCAAGAUCUCAGAGGGCCAUUCACUGUGGAUCUAAUAUGAAGACAGAGAAACCAGCCUUCCAGAGGAGCAGACACAUUUCCUUACUCCCAGGAUACACUUUGUAUGGUCCACAGAUCUGCCCUGAUGAUCAUGAAGGAACGGGAAAGAGCCUGGUAAAAUGAUAUGGACUUGUACAAACGCAAAGCAAUGGUGAAGUCAUCACGAACCGCACAGACUGGACAGAACUCCUAUCUGGCUGCAAUGGCUUGGGUUCAGUCAGCCCAGGGGCCAGAGAAUUGGCUAGAAAGAGCUCUGGAGUGCCCCUCCCUCCAGAUAAAGUAUUCUAAGUGUG